UACGGAGGGUGCAAGCGUUUAUCGGAAUUACUGGGCGUAAAGCGUGCGUAGGUGGUUCGUUAAGUCCGUUGUGAAAGCCCCGAGCUCAACUUGGGAAUUGCAGUGGAUACUGGCGAGCUGGAGUGCGGUAGAGGAAGGUGGAAUUCCCGGUGUAGCGGUGAAAUGCGUAGAGAUCGGGAGGAACACCAGUGGCGAAGGCGGCCUUCUGGACCAGCACUGACACUCAAGCACGAAAGCGUGGGGAGCAAACAGG
rnacentral:rRNA from 1 species